rnacentral:rRNA from 1 species
AAUGAACGCUGGCGGCAUGCCUUACACAUGCAAGUCGAACGGUAACAGGUUAAGCUGACGAGUGGCGAACGGGUGAGUAAUAUAUCGGAACGUGCCCAGUAAUGGGGGAUAGCCCGGCGAAAGCCGGAUUAAUACCGCAUACGACCUACGGGUGAAAGCAGGGGAUCGCAAGACCUUGCGUUAUUGGAGCGGCCGAUAUCAGAUUAGCUUGUUGGUGGGGUAAAAGCCCACCAAGGCGACGAUCUGUAGCUGGUCUGAGAGGACGACCAGCCACACUGGGACUGAGACACGGCCCAGACUCCUACGGGAGGGCAGCAGUGGGGAAUUUUGGACAAUGGACGAAAGUCUGAUCCAGCCAUGCCGCGUGCGGGAAGAAGGCCU